GACGAACGCUGGCGGCGUGCUUAACACAUGCAAGUCGAACGGAAAGGCCCUGCUUGCAGGGUACUCGAGUGUCGAACGGGGGAGUAACACGUGGGUGAACUGCCCUCCACUUCUGGAUAAGCCUGGGAAAAUCUGUCUAAUACCGGAUAGGAGCGAUCCUUCGUGUGAUGGUUGGAAAGUUUUUUCGGUGUAGGGUGAGCUCGCUGCCUAUCUGCUUGUUGGUGGGGUAAUGGCCUACCAAGGCGGCGACGGGUAGCCGGCCUGAGAGGGUGGACGGCCACAUUGGGACUGAGAUACGGCCCAGACUCCUACGGGAGGCAGCAGUGGGGAAUAUUGCCCAAUGGGCGCAAGCCUGAUGCAGCGACGCCGCGUGGGGGAUGACGGCCUUCGGGUUGUAAACUCCUUUCGCUAGGGACGAAGCUUUUUGUGACGGUACCUAGAUAAGAAGCACCGGCUAACUACGUG
rnacentral:rRNA from 1 species